AUCACCAAUAAUGUCUACUUAUUUGGUGGAAGUUGUUAUUGGUUUGUUUGAUUAUGUGGAAGAUCACACAUCUGAUGGUGCUAACUAUUUUCCCUCGCCUUGUUGGCCUUCCAUUAGAAAAGUUCCAGAUGGCACUUGCUCACAUACUACAGGGUUCAGCUCAUACUGGUCCAGCUUUAACUCCGGUAGAAGUGUUGGUUGCAAUACAUGAAAUUGUUCCUGAGAGAGAUGGCCUUGCACUGAAAAAGGCAUGUCUUUUGUCAUUCUGAACUUAAUGGUCUUGGAACUUUACACUUUGGUUGACUGUGAUGGUGAUCUAUAAACUACACAUUCAGAUCAUACUUAUUCUUCCCAUCACCCUCUUGGUCCGUAACUG